UACGGAGGGGGCUAGCGUUGUUCGGAAUUACUGGGCGUAAAGCGCACGUAGGCGGAUUGGAAAGUUGGGGGUGAAAUCCCAGGGCUCAACCCUGGAACUGCCUUUAAAACUCCCAGUCUGGAGGUCGAGAGAGGUGAGUGGAAUUCCGAGUGUAGAGGUGAAAUUCGUAGAUAUUCGGAGGAACACCAGUGGCGAAGGCGGCUCACUGGCUCGAUACUGACGCUGAGGUGCGAAGGCUAGGGGAGCAAACAGG
rnacentral:rRNA from 1 species